GGGAAAUCGUGCGAUAAAUUUACGCCCUCGAGAUAAACUCGCUCUUGUAAAAAUUGGACGUAGUUUUCAGCACGAGUUGCACUGAAUUCCAGUCGGGGCCAAUCGCAGAUGAUGUAGGUGAUGCCACUUAAAAGGUGUGAAUGUGAAUCCCCCUCUUCACGCAUGCGCAGUAAAGCAAUUUCGACUUAUUAUGUGAAUACCAACCUGAGUAGUAAAAUAAUAUUAAAAAUUAUGUGGAUCCCAAAAAACGUUUGCUACUGUAUCUAAGCACGAGUUUGUGGUUGUCAAUCAUAUGACCUGAAAUGUUAUUUGCUCAUGCGCAUAAAAUAUCAUUCGCACGAUUUCUUAUCACUGGUUUAUAAGCCCUGCGUUGCCUUUGCUUGUGUCCUAUCUUGCUUCAACAGGUAUCAGCAAUAGUAACUAUUGAAACGUGUAAAGGAAUUAUUAAGAUAAAUUAGUCGAGGAUACCUUCCUUCUUUAAUAUUCUUUAAUUUGUGUAUCACAAUUUAGUAUCAAAUUACAUUUCCAAUUCUCCGAAAGGAACUUCCAGUGCAUUUUAUAUUUUUCACCGGAAGGAAAUCUGUGGCAGGCAAAUAAUCCCAGGCGGAAUAUUAUUGCAAAAAUAGUCAAUGUAUAAAUAUGGCUUAUUACGGCGCUCAGUAUCCAGUUAUUGAGAAGUGUGUUAAUUUUGAAAACUGUUGCUGCGAUGACCUGGAUUGUGGUUUUCUCCACAACUAUAAAUAUUGCUUUCAAUAUCAAAACACAACCUGUGACAAUAUGAUGAAUUGCCCAUACUUGCACUGCACUAGUGUAGAGCAACUUCAUUAUGAAACUACUGGAAAAGCAACUGAGUAUCUUAAAAGAGAAGUUGGCCGAACUCUGCAAAAUUCUAACAUAUGUAAUGAUUUUAAAAAUGGGCUUUGCACGCAAACAGUAUGUAAUUUACGACACAUAAAAUUUGAUAACGUGAAGCCUUUGAAAUGUCACAAAUGUAAUGUACAAAUAACUGUGAAAAAUUUUGGAAUGGCUAAUUGCGGACAUAUAAUUUGUUCUAAAUGUUUUUUUAUAACAAGCAUCAAUUCAGACAAAAUUAAUAUAAACUCAUUAAUUAAUGACUCAACAAAAUGUAAAAUUUGUGGAAAAGAUACUUGUUACUUGGCAUUUAGAAAUUAUUAAUUAUUAAAAUAUAAUUAU